GUGAAUGUUUUCCUAUUGCAACAAAAAUGGUAUCUCGACAUUACAGUUUUCAAGAUAAUUAUAAACAAACGUAAGCCACGGGUUUAUAUUUAUGAAGCUGCAAACUCAGUAUGAGUUGUGUGUGGGUUUCCCCUUCCUGUGCUGCAAUAGCUCCACAUCCUACAGAAGGGUAAGGAACAAAUAAGUGUUUAUAUUAAACAUGGUGCCCUUUCUGUGUGGUUGUUAGUCUGAUUUGGAUGACCACUGCAUGUCCAUGUAACCUAGCAUGACUCAUGGCAGUGAUUGGCAGCAGAGAGAAAAGACACAAGCUUGGUGUUUAGUUUAAUGUCAGUGCCAAUGAUGUGGUCUAAAGCCCUGCCACUGAGGCUUGGGCAUUUUCCAAUGCUAUCUCCUGCUUACACCUCAUUUUUCCUAGAAACUGGCAACUCAUCAUCCAAAAUAUCCUUUGCCUAUUUCAUGAGAAGCAGUACAUGUUCACUACUGUAUGUCCAAUCAUUUGUGUUAAAUUGGUUCAAGAGGACAACAGAGCAACAGUCAUUUUUGAGCUGAGCCUGGAGGUUUCACAGCAUUGUUAAAAGCUUUUAUAAUUUACAGUUACAGUGUUGCCUUGUGGCCCAACAUUAUCAUGGCCCUUACUCCUACAUGUUUAACGUACUUUUAAAUGUACUGAAGUACUGAAGGAACCUUUGGAUUAACGUGAAGUGUAGCGCAUGACGGAAUACCAACAAAAACAACAGGGUUUAACUGGUUAACAGGAUAGGUGCAUUAAAAUAGAUUUUACUGUAGUAAAAGCCAAACAGAUUGUGUGAAACAGUGAUUUAGAGAAAAACUUUUGACUAAAACUAAGAACAUGCUAAAAUGCUUCGCAAUGGCCAAUUACAUUAUUUUUCUAUUUUUUAUUUCGAAUGGUUCUGUCAUUAGACUACAAUUAAAAAAAAAACUGAUAUAGUUGCAUCUGAAAAUGACCUUAUGACUUGGAUUUGUUCAUUUGUAUAGUGUCUAAUAAUUCCUAUGUUUUACUAUGGUAUUCAAGAAUAUUUGUCCUAUAGGAUUGAACUUUUUGUGCACUCUAUUCAUUCUUGCCCUGCAGCUUUUGUGGUGAAGCUAAAUUUAAAAGGUUAAAACCUUGUGGAAUUCAGAACGUUCCACACACACACAAGGGGGCAAGGAUUUUACAGUUAAGUAGGAAAUGUCUGAACGGGACAACAUACUGCCCAUGACUGGAUGACGUGUUAUCUAUUGUACAGACUUUACAGUAAUAUCAGACUAAAAACUCAAUCUGAUAUAGUCUAUAUUAUCUUCUAUAAUAUAGUAUAGAAAUAAAUUAAAAUCAAACUACUUUAAUUUAAAACAUUCACACUAUACUGUAUACACAUACAUUAGUCAUGAAAAAUGGGAUUUACCUGUCUGCAACUGGUUUAGCAAUAUUUUCAAAAAUCUCCUCUUGUUUGACUGCUUGAUCAAAGACUCGUUUGAACCUAGACACAGGUAAGAAAGACAAAAUCAGUGCCCACGUGAUACUGUCAAUUCAGCAAAACAGAACAGAUAAUGGGUUAACAGGACCUAUGUACCACACAGUCACUUACUCAUCAUCUAAGAUGCUUCAUCAUACUGCAAUAGUUGUGCUAGAGCGUAUUAUACUGUAGCUGGCAUUUUGGGGACAGGCAGAGUAUACCUUGGGCAGGUCGUCAAAUCAUAAGGCCACAAACAACCGCUUGCUCCAAUUAACCUCCAAUCAUCUAACUGCUAGUACUGUACUUCACCUUCCUCCUACAGAGAUUCAGGCACAGACACUUGUUGCUUAAUGAUUAGAAUUGAGGAACUGAAUAAAAAAAAAACUUAAUUUUCCAAGUGGAAGAGAUUGGUCACUAUUUUCUAAAGCAGUCCCAACCGUCAUCUUUUAUCCCACAAAAAGAUGAAAGUGAUGUGAAAGUAAUGAGCCCAGGAAGAUUGGUAAAUGUGGAAAUGGUAUUUGUAUAAGGGCACACAAGCUAUUUAUAAGACAUUGUGGUGUCCACUGCUGUUUGACUCCCUAACUGGGAAGUGUGGCAUGGGCCCUGCCCAAAGGGUACAUAAGGCUGCAGCUUUCACUACUAGCAUUACACAGAGGUUCUCGCUCUGCAAUGACAGAACUGGCAGAUGUUUCUUUUUAAUACAAGUUAACCAUGAGAGUUAAAUUUCAGUUGGGCAACGCAACAUACCAUGCUCUAUAAUAUGUCUCACACAGUAUGUGUAUUAUAUGUCACAUCAUCUUAUUUAAUAUUUUUGCUCUGCCUUCACGUUAGAAUGAUAUAGGAUUAGGUUGUUUUGAUUUUAUGUUAUUAGAUCUAUAUAAGUUUGCCCUGUGUUUGAAUUGCAUGCAGGUAUUUUUCUUAUUUACUCAAUUUUCUUUUUCAAUAAACAAGCUGCUGAUAAAGCUUGUGGUGAAGAAAACUUGGUUUCAGGUAAGUACUGAAAAUGUAAAGGUUUUAACCUAAAAAAAUGUUCUUCAGCAUCAGCAACAGAUAGGGCCUUAGCCCUUUAGUUGUCAAUAAAUAAAACGUGUUUUAUUAGCUGGCUAUGUGCAGUCUGUACAAGACAUGUUUUAUAAAUUCCUUUGUAACUUUACCUAAACAUGUAGCACUCUUUUUUAUUGUUCACAAUGCCAUCAGCCUCGUCCUUGGGCACCACAAACUCCAGAUUAGCACCUGUCGGCUCCUCAUUGUUCACAGAAUACACCUGGGGGAGCCAAAGGCAAUAAGGGAAAAAUGGAGAUGUAAAGACUGUGCACACAUUUCUCUCUUUCUAAUAAAGCUAAGGAGGUGUAGUACUUGUACAUGUACCAUUUUGCUGGAUGUUGUCACCUGAAGCUAAAGUGACAGAGAAAAGUAAUUUCACUAACCCAUCAAUCAUCUACUGUCCGGACAAACAAACAUGGAAAAAUGUAUUUUGAUAACUCACGGAUUGCAAUAUGGCAAAUGUGUACUUCAGUACAAUGCAAUGUUGUUGUGUAAAACUGAUCCCUCACUACAGCUACAGAAUUGCAAAUCUGACAGUGCCUCAGAACUUUACCUUAAUGAUAGUAAACCUCAAUGUAUUAACAUACACUGACAAAAGACAAAGAAAAACACAGAAAUUGUCACUUUCUGAAUUCAUCAAAAAACAAUAAAUCAUACAAAAUACCUAUAUAUUCCAAGCAGAGGAACACAUAAAACGCAAUAUUAGCGACUUACUUGUUUUAUUUAUUAUGUGUUAGUGUUAUGAAACGCAGCUCGUCUUCACAAUGAGAUAUUUUGACAUGUCACAGCAAGAAAAACGGAGCUGACUCAAACUACCUAUAGCAUAAUACUCCAUGCAGGUGUGGCAGAUCCUGGGCUAUGCUGUUAUUUUCCAGAUGAUCUCAUCACUACCUGUCACCAUACCACAAGUUCACAUGAAGAUCGGGACAAUUGAAGAUGUUCAUGUGUUGCAAAAGAGGUGUCAACGCAGCUUAUGGUAACUCACACUGACAUGAACAGUCUUCAAAAUGUUUAUUGAACGCAUCAGUGUAUGGAUGGUUGUCGUCCUCAUGAGUCAUCACCGGGCUCCAAGUAACAGAUCCAGAUGAUCAAGUUUCACAUGAUUUUGAAAUCGCCUGCAUGAGGUCACGUGUUCAUGUGUGGAGCUAAAGUGUCCUUAAUCUGGAAACCAGACAACCAUGGCCUAAGAUAUCAAACUUCACCGAGGAGAUGAUAGAAUAAUUCCAAAAGCACUAGCAAUGCUUUGCCUGUGUACACCUUGGACACAAUGGUGAUGAUAACUAAACCCUGUUGGGGUUCAUUUAAACGUGAAUGCAGCAUUUGAUUGCCAUAAAGUGUCACUUGGCAACAAUGAUCUGCUCCACUGCCUGGGCACCUUAGGAGCAUGUUUUUCUCAGAACAAAACAAGCUGCUGCUGGUUGUUAUUGUGACCCUGUCUGAUAGGUAUUAAGAAAUAACUCAUGCCAUAUUAUUCCGUUCAGUAAAAUGUAUUUGUGAGCAGCUUUUGUUUUUGUUUCCACCAUAACAUGUGACAUGUUUUAUCUUUCAUCUUUGAGUCAUCUGCUGCAGAUGCGUGUGCUUUUUAAUGAAACAGACAACAACAAAUGUAAAUAAAUAUGCAUCAAGUCAUCUCCCCACAAAUGAUUAAUUCUCACAAAGAUAAAAGCACACAUUCACAAGGGCGAUUUUCACCACUCACAUUAAAUAUUUUAGUGAUUGGAUCGAAGUUUUUACAACUCAUUGUGCGAUUUAAAAUGAUUAAUGAAGACUAUGGCAACAACAUUUUUGUCAUCCAGAUAAAUAGGAAGCAGAAGAUAGAUUGGUGUCUGUUAAUUUGUAAUUUGAAUUUACAGUUCAAGACUUGUAUUUCUGUAAUUUAGUAUCCAAUCUAAUCUCUAGUCUCAUCAGACUGAAAACAAAACUGAGAUAUUAUGGAUUUAAGGCCACUGGACCCUAGCUCUGCAUUGCCCACAAUGCAGAGCUAGUAGUAACAGAAAUACUGUUUGCAACAUACUGUAGUGUAGUGCAAGUUUUUUGUUACAAUAUGUUCCACAUCCAGUUAUAAACAUCCUGAUCAUAUCACUGAGGCAUCAUGACUAUGAGUUAUGCUCUCACACUUUUAAUAACCUACAACAGCGCCCAUAGGAUGUUUGACCUGGUCUUGAGCAUGUGUGGUUCAUGUGUGAAUGUUUCACAGUAUACAAGAGCGUGUGUGUCUGUGUGUGCCUGUGUGUGCCUGUGCACGCUGCACUGACAUCUGCGCAUUCACUUAGUGGCAUGUCUGUUCUUCCAGACGCCCCUGAGAUCCCAAGGUGUGGACUGGACUUUUCCACAUCUGCAUCCCUGUCAAAAAGGGUCUACUAAUGACCUGGCUCCCGUCUGAGAGACACCUAGACAAUACUCCUGUAACUAAAUCUGUUACUCUUGGCUCUCUGCGUUGGACCUGUGCUGAAAUAUCAAAGCAACAUGGUUUCAGAUUAAUUCACUGCUUUUGGUGUCUGCUUGCUUUGUCUUCUUAGAAACCUCGAUAGAGCCUGUACUUCAAGUAGCUUCAUGUCUGUCAAACAUCCAAACGUCUAACUGGAAAUAAAUUACAGUCUUACUUGAACAACAAUUUUUCCUUGGUCAGUUUCCAUCAAUCUCUUGGAGGUCAGCAUAAAAUCUUGAUUAACUAACUGAGCCCCUGACAGAAACUCACUGGGUUCACUGGAAAAAUAAUUCAUUUGUGGUGGCGUCACUAAAAACCGUUCACAGUAACAUGGUGCGUUCACUGUCUAAUAUUAUGUGGCUUUUACGACAUCUGAGAUCAAACUGCAUUCUGCGGUGGUCGAUCAAGCAAUAGAAUGACCGGGAUAAGUCUGAGCUGCCUUUGUAACACCUUAUAAAGGAAGGUUUUCAUGGCGCCAGAACACAGAACAUGUAAAGUGAGUGAUUACUGUGUGUUAGCAAUUUGGAUUCCCUGGCUUUAGGAAUGAUGGUAAAAGGCUUGGAUUAAAGAUAGUAAACGAAUGUCAUUAUGUGACGAAAAGCUGACUGCUAGGAUAUAAUAACUGCUAUGGAUUAUAGAUCUGGCCUCCUACUAGUUUGGCCAAAUUCAGGACUUUCUCUAUACUGUAGGACUAAUCAAGGCAAGCGUCUGAAUCACUCACUUGAACUGAGUAACAUCACCUUGGCUUUGAUCUUUGAUCAUCCAAAAUAACUUACUUCAACUACAUUUAUGGAAUAAUACCUUUAAGGUGGCUCAGAGAUAAUGCACAGAUGAGAAUGGUAUGUGGGGUGAAUAACCU